rnacentral:rRNA from 1 species
AUUGAACGCUGGCGGCAGGCCUAACACAUGCAAGUCGAACGAGCGGCGGACGGGUGAGUAAUGUCUGGGGAUCUGCCCGAUGGAGGGGGAUAACUACUGGAAACGGUGGCUAAUACCGCAUACUAUCGGAUGUACCCAGAUGGGAUUAGCUAGUAGGUGGGGUAACGGCUCACCUAGGCGACGAUCCCUAGCUGGUCUGCGAGGAUGAUCAGCCAAACUGGAACGGAGACACGGCCCAGACUCCUACGGGAGGCAGCAGUGGGGAAUAUUGCACAAUGGGCGCAAGCCUGAUGCAGCCAUGCCGCGUGUAUGAAGAAGGCCUUCGGGUUGUAAAGUACUUUCAGCGGGGAGGCGUUACCCGCAGAAGAAGCACCGGCUAACUCCGUGCCAGCAGCCGCGGUAAUUC